rnacentral:tRNA from 1 species
ACUAAAAUAGCAAAAAUAAUGCGUAGGAUUUAGGUUCCUAAGAUGAAAGAUCUUUUCUUUUAGUA